GGGGGACAACAUUCGGAAACGGAUGCUAAUACCCCAUAGGUGGAUUGGUCGCAUGACGAAUUCAUUAAAGGUGGCUUUGCUACCACUCAUGGAUAGCCUCGCGGCGUAUUAGCUAGUUGGUAAGGUAAUGGCUUACCAAGGCAGUGAUACGUAGCCGACUUGAGAGGGUGAUCGGCCACACUGGGACUGAGACACGGUCCAG
rnacentral:rRNA from 1 species